CAGAUAUUUCUUCAAUGAGUAAGAGCUACGGUAUAGGGUUACAGUCUACACUCAACCUGCCGAUGGCGUUGAUGGGACUCCACCCCCGAUUGAUUAUUUCCGCUGAGACUUACGAGCAUGCUGAUCCAGGGAUGGCACAGAUACACAGAAGCUUGAUCAUUUGAGGUCGGGUCGCUACAACCCCAUAGCCCAUUUUUGCGUCACUUUCCUACCGGACUAGCCAUUUGAUAUUGUCGACAAUGUUGCCUGUGCACAUUAGUGAUCGUUGUUUCCCAUUGCAUACAUACCAUAUCAUCGUGGUACAAGCAUCUUGAUAUCAACUCUUGUGUCACAAGGUUGUCACCGUAUAUACACAAUUGCUAUCUUGGUUCAUGAAGUUUCGCAUAAGUGACCAACAAAAGAGCUCAAAAGAGAAAGAGCAAUAAGCUUUUAAGCAAAAGAGAAAGAUAAGCAAAGAGCUUUUAAGAGAGAACCAUAGCAUCAUACUACAUUAAGAUUGUCAUACUCCACAAUCUUGGAUCAUACCACCGGAACACCAUACAUAUAGCAUGCUUGGGAUAGAAGCCGUUGCAUUUUUGCUUUGUAGGUUGUGCACAAGUCUCGUAUCCGCCUAUUGUGCAAUUGUGCUAGCGUCUCUCUAGAGUUGCGCAACGAGAGCAUUUUCCGUGGAUUCCACAUUUUGAGCUCAUUCCUUGGUUGCACGACCCCAUUUAUCUCUCCGUGUGUGUGUGUGUGUGUGUGUGUUUCCGUGUGCCACUUCUUGCUAUUGGUCUACUUGUUACAUUUGUGAAUUUAUGAAUCUUUUUCAACAUUAUUGAGUCUUGCUAACAUUCGCAUAAAUUUUGUGCCACCAUCCUCACUAAGCUCCACCAAAAGCUUUAUUUGUGUAGGAGUGAGAGAUUGACGAGAUACGGUACCAAUUGUGCUAUUUCCUUGCUACACUAUUGAGUGAUCAUUGAUCCAUUCUCAUCAUCGGUUAAGGUACAUUUGGUAUAGUUAUUUCCUUUCUUCCACUCACAUAUUUGCUUGCAAUGAUGGAUAGGCCAACUACCUCUUCGAACCCACUCUUCACUGAGCAAGAUGAGGACCUGAACAACUACGUCACCAAGAACCACCUCUCGGCAUGCAAAGAGCUUUGCAUCAAGAGAAUGAAGCAUUUGAGCGUAUGAUGCGGAGCAUCCUAAGGUCAUCCCCAUGGACCUAUCUACGGCUCCCACGACACCACUUGGACUAAUGACAAGAGUUCAAGCAAAGGCUAUUGAAGAUAAGGUGAACUCGCUCCUCUCCGACUUAUACAUUCUUCAUGUGAGACAUGGCUACUACCUCAAGCGAAGACACUAUGUGUGAUAAGGUACUUAGAAAGAAGCCACGGAACAACUACAUCCAACGGCCAAGACAGCGAGGACACCGAGUACAAGGAACAAGAAGAGGAGCUGCCAGAAAAUCCCCAGCCACCGGACGACCGAGGCUUGAUGGACGUCCGACGCCCAAAACUCUAGCUAGCCAAGUCCCAGAAUGCUACAGCGGCCGGACGACCGACAAGUACCGAACGACCGACGCGCCCAGCUAUCGGACGUCUGAAAGCCAUCGGAUAUCCAAGAACGACCGACCAGCGCCAAAACACCGAGAGUCUGAAGCCCACCGAACGACCGACGCACCGGAUGUCCGACCUCGGCCGGAAAUCCGACGGAUGCCCGACCUCGGCCGGAAAUCCGACGGAUGCCCAUCAAAGCCAAAACGUCAGAAAUCCGACACUUACCGAAUGUCCCGGCACCAGCAAGACACCGGACGACUGGUAACUGUUGGACGUCUGACACCUGUCUGUGUACAGCGUGUCGGGCCGAAGCCCAUUUACCCUUUCGUGACCCUAGACAAUAUAUACUCCUCCUCCUUCCUCUUUCUAGGGUUAGCAAUAGUUCUAGCUCAUUUGAGAGAUAAAGUAUGGCUCAUCCACUUAAUACCUACUCCAUUGGCGGCCAAGCCCUUCAUCUAGGAGAAGAUCCCCCAAGUGGAUUCAAGCCAUCCACCUAGGAGAAGAUCCAUCUCGGAUUCAAGACCUCCUCUUGGAGAAGAACUAGCUACUUGUAUCUUUCCUUUGUUGUCUUUGGAUCUUUAUGACCUCUUUGUGUUCAUGAAUCUAGCACGUGUGUGAUUGGUUCGAGGUUGUUUGAGUGUUUCCUCUUGUUUCCCCUCAGGUUAUGUUGUAGGGUGGAACCCUAGAAGGGGUCUUUUUACACUUGGAGGUGGUGAAAGUGAUGAACACAUGAGAACACAAGGGAGAAGCACUCAAACAAAACCCAAAUCACACAUCUACUAGAGUAGCAUACAUGAGAUCCACAAGAUUACAAGAACAUUCAAAGGAAACAAGCACUAGGUGGAGUUCUUCCCACUCCUUAGAGAUGAGAUCUUGAUGAUGGUAGUCUUCUCGAAGAUGGAGGUCUUGAAAUCCACAAGUGGAUCCUCUCCUAAGAGGCCUUGAUCUCCAAUGGAGUGGUAAAGGAGCAAAUCUCAUAAAUAUCUCAUAUAAUACUUUGCUAACCCUAAACAUUACCCUAGGUAUAGAAUAUAUAGGCUUGGGGUCUAAGUGGAAGGAGAGGAGGUCCAAAACACAAUCUCAGCCGCCCAUCCUGUAGGGCCCGUGCACAUGGGGUAAGUUGGGCCCGUGCGCACGGGGGUCCCGUGGGCGCGGUACACACCCGUGCGCGUGGGGUGCUGCAACGCCAACUCCUUGGAUAGUCUGUGGGCACGGGGUCUCGGGGGCCUGUGCGCACGGGGUCGCCUUGGACUUCCUGUCCAGCUGCUUUUUUGUCUUCUCCUUCCUUUGUGUGGACUUGGGGUGGUUCUACUACUCCUUGGUGAUGCUCCUUAGCUGAUUGGGAAUGCUCCUCUUCGUACCUAAUGACACAUAGAGAAUUUUGGUGAGGUAGCAACCAAGUUCCACUUGUAUCCAUAUGCAUGUCUAGUAGGAAAGAGUUCACCUCGAUUUCGAUUGCGCGUGCUCUAGCUCUUGUCAUGGGUCCACGUGGGGCUUGAUGUGUUGGUGUAGAGUCCAGGGGGAUGAUGGAAGGAUGCUCCACAUCAUGUCUCCCCCCUCCGUUGGGAGAGAUCCGUGCACGGACAAGAUCUUCAUUACCAUGGUACUUGGCCAAGUAUUUGACAUUGAAGAUGUCGCUUAAGUUGUACUUGUCGCGUGGGAUGUCAAUAUUGUAAGUGUUGUCAUUGUAGCGUGCUAGCACCUUGAAUGGUCCGUCGGCUCGUGGUAGUAGUUUUGACAUGCUCUCGUUGGGGAAGCGGUCCUUGCGAAGAUGAAGCCAUAUGAGAUCUCCCGGCUGGAACACCAUUAGUGUCUUGUUGAUGUUGAGCUUGUUGGUGAUGCGAUGUACUUGAUGCUCGAUUGCUGCCCUUGUAUCUUCAUGCAUCUUCUUGAGGAAGCUUGCCCUUGCACUUGCAUCCAUGUUUGUGUGUUUUUAUAGCGGGAAAGGUAGAAUGUCCAAUGGGGACAAAGGGUUGAAGCCGUAGACAACUUCGAAAGGGGACUUGCCGAUAGUCGAAUGUCGAGCUCGAUUGUAGGCAUACUCGGCGAUGGCUAAGCACUCCUCCCACUCCUUAAUGUUCUUCUUGAUCAACAAGCGUAGGAGGGUGGAGAGCAUCCAGUUGGUCAAAUCGGUUUGUGGAUGAUAGGCCGACGAGAAAAGAAUCUUGAUUCCGAGCUUGGCGCAUAGAAUCUUCCAAAAGUAGCUUAGGAACUUGAAGUCGCGGUCCGACACAAUGGUCCUUGGCACUCCAUGUAACCUCAAGAUUUCCCUACAAAAGAGAUUUGUGACAUGUGAAGCAUCGUCUAUCUUAUUGCAUGGGGUGAAAUGUGCCAUUUUCAAGAAUUGGUCUAGAACAACAAAUAUGGAAUCCUUUCCAUUUUGAGUCCUAGGCAAACCAAGCACAAAAUCCAUACUAAUAUCUUCCCAUGGUUGAUAUGGAAUUGGAAGUGGCAUAUAUAAACCAUGAGAUUGAGCUUUUGACUUAGAUUUGCAGCAUGUAGAGCAUCGGUUGGUGAGCCGCGCGACGUCGCGGAACAUUUUUGGCCAAAAGUACUUGUUGGAGAGUGUAGCAAAGGUCUUGUUGCGUCAAAAAUGUCCCAUAAGUACACCUCCGUUAGCCUCUUGCAAAAGCAACAAAUGAAGAGAAGACUCUGGUAUACAAAGUUUGUUAGCGCACAUAAGGUAGUCAUUCUUGAGAUAAUAUUUCUCCCAACAAGUGUGAGCAAGACAUUUUGCAUAAGGAAUCAAAAAGGAAGGACCCUUGGCAUAAAGAGCUUUAACAUGUUCAAAACCUAUCACACUCAAUUCAAGUUGAGUAACUAACAUGCAUUUGCGGGAAAGAGCAUCCGCCACAACAUUUUCUUUACCCUUAAUGUACUUGAUCACAUAAGGCAAAGAUUCAAUAAAUUCACUCCAUUUAGCAUGCCGUUUAUUCAACUUGGUUUGACCUUUUAGGUACUUAAGUGUCUCAUGAUCGUUAUGUAUGACAAAUUCAUGUGGGUGAAGAUAAUGCUCCCAAACAUGCAAUGCUCGCACUAAAUCAUACAAUUAUUUGCCAUAGAUGGGGUAGUUAAGUUGAGCACUGGAGAGUUUUUCACUGAAGUAUGCAAUGGGUCGCUUUUCUUGCAUCAAAUCUCCUCCAAUUCCAUUACCACUAGCAUCACAAUGUACCUCAAAUUUUUUGUCGAAAUUAGGUAAUGCAAGAAUUGGGGCAUGUGUAUGCAAAGAUUUGAGCUCAUCAAACGCGGUAGAUUGCAAGGGUCACCAAACAAAGGGUGCAUUCUUCUUACUCAAAGCAUGCAACGGUGCGGCAGUAGUGCUAAAGUAUUUCACAAAGCGACGAUAAAAACCUACUAGACCAAGGAAACUACGCACUUGUUGCAAAUUAGUGGGUUGUGGCCAAGUUUUAAUUGCUUCAAUUUCAGACUCAUCUACAUGAACACCCUUUGAAUACACAACGAAUCCCAAGAAAACAAUCUUGUCAACGUCAAAUGUGCAUUUUUCCAUGUUGGCAUAAAGUCGCUCUUUUCUAAGAGUUUGUGAAACCGCCCUAAGAUGAUCUUCAUGUUCCUUGAGGGAGUUUCUAAACACAAGAAUGUCUUCAAAGUAAACUACAACAAACACACCAAUGUAAGGGCGAAGCACGUAAUCCAUAACUCUCAUGAAAGUACCAGGUGCUUCGGAUAAACCCAUAUGCAUAACUAACCACUCGUACAAGCCAAAUUUUGUUUUGAAAGCGGUUUUGCAUUCAUCACCUUCUUGUAUGCGGAUUUGAUAAUAGCCACUUUUAAGAUCAAUUUUAGAGAAAAUGGAGGUACCGCUAAACUCAUCUAGCAUAUCAUCAAGGUGUGGAAUGGGACGCCUAUAUCGAACGGUGAUAGCAUUGAUAGGUCUACAAUCGGAACACAUGCAAAAGCUAUCGUCUCUUUUUGGCACAAGAAUUACCGGUAUGACACAAGGACUCAAACUUCCACGCACAUUUCCAUGAUCUAUGAGAUGUUGGACUUGCCUUUGUAUUUCCUUGGUUUCUUCGGGGUUGACAUGGUAUGGAGCCUUGUUAGGAAGAGGUGCGCCGGGGAUGAGGUCGAUUGAAUGUUCGAUGCCACGCAGAGGAGGAAGACCGGGAGGUAGCUCAUCGGGAAAGACAUCCAUGAAUUCCUGCAACAAAUCAGCCAACACUAGAGGAAGGGGAUUAGGAGUGUUAGUCUUUGCCACCUCAUCUUUGCACAAUAGGACGUAGUGCAUGACACUCGAUGGGUCCUCACACACUUCUCUCAUCUCUCUUUUUGUGGCUAGGAGGACCAAGUUUUUCUCUUUUGGCAAAGAGUCACUCAAUUGUGGCUUGUGGCGCUCACUCACUUUGUGGUGGUUCACUCUCUCACUAGUCUCUCCAUGAUGGGUAGAUGCUUUCUUGUCGGCUAUCACUUGGCCUGGUGACAUAGGUUGUAGCACGUACUUUGUUCCCUUCAUCUUGAAACUAUAGUGGUUUGUUCUCCCAUUGUGGAUGACGCCGAGGUCGAAUUGAAAGGGUCUUCCGGAGAAGAUGGCACACGGACAUAGGAACCACGUCACACUCCAAGGUAUCCUCAUAAGCGCCUAUCUUGAAGGAAACUAGCACCAUGUGCUCCACUUGAAUGGUACCGGAGUCGCUAAGCCAUUGGACCUUGUAGGGACGAGGAUGCUUCUUCUUGACCAAUUGUAGCUUGGAACAUAACUCUUCACUUUCCAAGUGGCAAUUUCCUCCAUUGAUGAUGACUUUCACGGAGCGCCCAUUGAUGCCGGCCUUGGUGUGGAAGAUGUGACACCUUUGGUCUUCAUCUUGUUUGUGUUGAAGUGUCAAGACCUUGGAGACCACGAGAGUGGGACUUGAAUCGUUGUCACAAUAGACUUGAGAAUCUUCUUCUUCAUUCACUUGGCACUGCAUGGCGACAUCCUCGAGUGCUUCCAUCUUUUCUUCACUCAUGGAGUCAUACGUACCAUCAUCAUUGGCGAUCAUGGUUCGCUUGUUGAUGCAUCGGAAAGACUUGUGUCCACGGCCACCACAUGUGAACCACUUGAUAGAACUGAUCUUGACGGGAUCGUCUGGUGGUGCCAAUGAAGAAGAAGUCUUGUUCUUAUAGUUGGUUAUCGGAGGACGAGUUGAGGAAGGCAUACCUUGCUUGUAGCUUGACUUGUCGCCAGUACUUGGUGAUGCUCUAGUCGGAGUAGGAGGUGCCAAAGUUGUAGUAGAGGUAGCUUGAGUGUAUGAGCCGUUGGUCUUGGAUGAGUACUUGGCAUACUUGAAAUAUUCUUGUACUUGUCGUGCCGCCUUGGUCGCUUGAUGAACUAGCUAGAGAAGGUUGGAGUAGGGUUGGAAAUUGGUGAUAUUCUAUAUUGGGUGGUUGAGGCCGUUCAAGAAGCGUUCCAUUGUUUGCUCAUCAUCUUCUUUGACAUUGUCUCGUAUCAUGGCGAUCUCCUUUUCUUGAUAGUAUUCUUCCACCGUCUUCGCGCCUUGCUUGAGAGGUUGCAACUUCUUGAAGAUAUCACGUGUGUAGUAUGUGGGCACGAAGCGGGCUCGCAUGACGUCCUUCAUUUGUGUCCAAGUCAUGAUGGGUGGCUCGUCCUUCUCGUGGCGUCGCUCGAUCACUUGUUCCCACCAAAUGAGAACAUAGUCUUGAAAUUCAAGAGAUGCCAUGGCGAUAUUCUUUUCCUCGUCGUAGUUGUGAAGACGGAAUAUCUUGUUGACUUUCAAUGCCCAUGAGAGAUAUUCUUCGAGAUCACUGCUUCCGGAGAACUUGAGCAUGGUGAACUUGAGCUUGCCGUAGUGGAGUUCUCCAUCAUAGUGAUGAUGUUGAUGUCGCUCUUGGCAUGGAGGGUGGUCUUUGAGCACUCGAUCCGCUUGGUGUCGCUCUUAGCGUUGGGGGGGGGGGGGUCUUCGAGCAGUCGAUCUGCUUGCCGUGGAGGCGGUCGAGGCAUAUGUUCCCGGUUUCGCCUUUCUUGUUGUUCUUCACAACGAGCGACUUCUUCUUGUCGUGCUUGACGAAGGGCUUCUUCUUGCUCACGUACUUGACGGCUGCGUUGGGCAAUAGCUUGAGUGGACUCUGGAGUGUGUCUUGAGCCACUUGAGCUUGAGUUUCACGACUUUGUUGCUCUUGCCGAAUUGCAUCGCCGUCUUGAGAUGCUUGACAAGGACAUUGUGGAGGUAGAUCAUGCUCCAUAGCUUCUUGUUGUUGGCGUCUUGCUUGAUCACAUGCUCGAACUCGGUCGUGUAGGUCAUUGCCAUGGAAAGGAUUUUCUUGAGCUUGGCGAUCUUGAGUGUCGUUGCGUCGAGGAGGACUCGCAUCGGAAGAAGAGUAAGACGACGAGUGUCGACUUGAGUGGCUCCGUAUUGGUGAAGAGGUUGAGGAAGAUGCGCGGCUCAUGAUCAUGUUGCGGAAUUCAUCCAUUUGUUUGGAGAGCUUGGUGUCCAAAUAGUCCCGUUGUCGUGCUUCCGAUUGUCGUAGGUCGGUGGCGAGUUGCUCGAUGCGAUCACCCAAAGCUUCACUCUCUUGAUUUAGAGCUCGUUGCGCGAUGAAUAAGUGAUUCUUGGUGAUUUAGUCGCGUUCAUCAUCUUGUUCCUCGAAGAGAGGGUUCGUCGAAGAAGAAGGCAUAUCCAUCAUGUAGAAGUGGUGGUGAGUAGGAAAAAUGGGAGAACAGACCAAAGAUACCUUUUUCGAAGAUUGUGGAUGUAUCAAGUACGAUCCCACAUGAUGCUAUAAUAGUAGAAUUGGUACCAGGUUUUGUUCCUCACACCUACAAGUAAAGGCUUAUGAUGGAUCUCGGUUAGGAAGUGGCACAAAUAAUUCAAGCAAAUGUUAGUCAAGAUGUUGAAAAGGUUUAAAAGAUGCACGAAUCGCAAGUAAGACAAAUAGAUCAAACCCAAGGAUAUCUCUAGGAACACACACACGGAAGAUAAAUGGGAUCCGCGCAACCAAGGAAUGAGCACAAGAUGUGUAACCAUGGAUAAAGCUCUUGUUUCGCGGAUACUAGAAAGAUAUAGCUCGAUUGCACCAACCUAAGAGAGAAAUGGGUACUCUACUAUCCAAGUAUGAUUAAGUAUGUCGUGAGAAAGAUGAUGUAACUAUGCUUUGAGGCUCGAUGCUAUUGCUUACAAGCUCUUUGCUUCUCUUCUUUUUCUUUUGCUUAAUAGGUUUUUUACUAUGCCACAAUGGUUGAUAAGUGAGCCACAAUGCGAAUCAAUAAGUAAUAUAUGCACGGGAGAGAUGUAACACUAAAGGUGUACUAAGGCAUGGUCUGACAAUUGUCAACUCGCUAGUCUCAGUGGGUAACCUACGCAAAAGAGGCUCGAAGCAAUGAAGGUAAUGGCAAGGGUAAUUCUAUGGUGUCGUCGAGGUUACUGUCCUUGCUUACAGUUGGUAUGAAGGUGAUGUUGGCGAAGCCAAUGUGGAGGCCGAGUCGAUGAAGACUGGCGGUGAUGAUGACGACAAAUCGUGCCUAAGUAGCCGAAACACCUUAGGACACGAGGGAAACCGCAACCCAAAACUCAAACAACCACAAGAAGUACUAAGGAAGAGCAGAAGUGGUGGUGGAAUGGCAAAAAGAAGGAAAAUGGGAGUGGUCAAACUUCUCUGAGUAGCCCAUGCGCACGGGGUGAGUGAUACCCGUGUGCACGGGGUCCCGAUGGCCCGUGUGCACGGGGUGUUCCGGGAGCGGAUGAACACCUUUGGAUCCGUGGAAAUUAUGCAAAAUCCAACCAAAAGUGAUGGAUGGAAAGGUGGUGGAAGGUGGUAGGGGGUAGAUCAACUUGUCAAACACCAAAUUCGUGGAUCAAAUCAACCAAAUCUCACAAGAACCAACAAAUUACAAAAAAAAUCUUGGGACUCUUUUGGUGGGGAUUUUUGAAUUAGGACGAAAAACAACAAAAUCAAGCUAGAAAGUGGAGGGUAGGGACUCCAAGAUGUGAAUCAACCUUGCUCAUUAUACCAAGAUGUUGUAGGGUGGAACCCUAGAAGGGAUCUUUUCACAAUUGGAUGUGGGGAAAGUGAUGAACACACAAGAACACAUUGGACAAGCACUCAAGCAAAACCCAAAUCACACAUCUACUAAAGAUAGCAUACAUGAGAUCUACAAGAUUACAAGCACAAUCAAAGGAAACAAGUACUAGGUAGAAUUCUUCCCACUCCUUAGAGAUGAGGUCUUGAUGAUGGUAGUCUUCUCCAAGAUGGUGGUCUUGAAAUCCACAAGUGGAUCCUCUCCUAAGAGGACUUGAUCUCCAAUGGAUUGGUAGAAGGAGCAACGCACAAAAAUAUCUCAUAUAAUACUUUGCUAACCCUAAACAUAACCAUAGGUACGGAAUAUAUAGGCUUGGGGUCGAAGUGGAAGGAGAGGAGGUCCAAAACACAAUCUCAGAUGCCCAUCCUGUAGGGCCAGUGCACACAGGGUAAGUUGGGCCUGUGCGCACGGGGGUCCCUGUGCACGGUACACGCCCGUGUGCAUGGGGUUCUACAUCGCCAACUCCCUGGAUAGUCCCUGGGCACGGGGUCUCGGGGGCCCGCGCGCACGGGGUCGCCUGGGACUUCCUGUCUAGUUGCUAUUUGUCUUCUUGUUCCUUUGUGUGGACUUGGGGUGGUUCUCCAACUCCUUGGUGAUGCUUCUUAGCUGCUUGGGAAUGCUCAUUUUCGUACCUAAUGACACACAGAGCAUUUUGGUGAGGUAGCAACCAAGUUCCACUUGUAUCCAUAUGCAUGUCGAGUAGGAAAGAGUUCACCUUGGUUUCCAUUGCACGUGCUCUAGCUCUUGUCAUGGGUCCACGUGGGGUUUGAUGUUUUGGUGUAGAGUCCAUGGGGAUGAUGGAAGGAUGCUCCGCAUCAUGUUCCCCCUCGUGUUCUUCAUGUGAUCCCCUCCAAAUCAUGAAAGAUCGGCCCCUAGGGUUCCACCCUACAUCAUCUUGGUAUCGUGAGCCAAGGUUGAUCAUGAAUUUGGAGCCUCCCCUCUUUGUUUUCUAGCCUAAUUUUGUUGAUUUCGUCCUAAAUUCAAAAAUCCCCACAAAAAUAGCCCCCAAUUUUUUUUGUGAUUUGUUGGUGUGAUGAAGUUUUGUUGGAUUUGAUCUGUGGAUUUGAUGUGUAGCUGGUAGAUCUAGAUUCAGUCCCCCAUUUCCAAUCCACAAAUUUGUCCAAUUUUGCCCACAUUUUGCACCCACCACGAACCCUAGAGUUCAUCCCAUGCCCGAAAUUGCCCAGGCAACGGACGUUCGACAGUAUGGUCGUCCGACCCCCACCGAACGUCCAACCGAACCUGACAAGACUGAAAUUUCCCCUGGAAAAUUUUCAGCCGCCCGCUACACUUUCUGCACCACCACUCCCGUAACCCCACAUUGCAUUGCAGCAUACCACCACCGAUUUCCGCAACCACCAUUGCUUACCCGCUAGAAACUCCGAUAAUUUUGCCACUUUUGGUCUUUGAGAAUUGAGUUGCGGUUUCUGUUUCCUAACGUGUUUCGGCUACUUAGGGACGGUUCGACAACGACGUCAGCGCCGCUCAUCUUUGUCAUCGACCUCGACCUCUUCAUCAUUUUGACACCAUCCACCAUAAGCAAGGACAGUAACCUCAACGACACUCUCGUACACUACCCUUGCCAUUGCAUUGAUAACCCAAUAGCCCAUUUUCGUGCCACUUACCCAUCAAGACUAGCCUUUGAGUAUUGCCGGCAACGUUACUUCUGCACAUUAGUGAUCAUUGCAUAUAUCACAUCAUCUUGGUACACAUAUCUUGGCAUCAUCUCUUGUGUCACAAGGUUGUCAUUGCAUAUACACAAUAACUACCUUGGUUCGUCAAGUUUUGCAUGAGAAAGAGCUCAAAAGAGAAAGAGCCAAACAAGCUUUUAAGCAAAAAAGAAA